rnacentral:rRNA from 1 species
AGCAGCCGCGGUAAUUCCAGCUCCAAUAGCGUAUAUUAAAGUUGUUGCAGUUAAAAAGCUCGUAGUUGAACUUCAGGCCUGUCCAGACGGUCCGCCUUAAUUGGUGUGUACUGUCCUUGGGUGGGUCCUACCUUCUGGCGAAGCGGCAUGGCCUUAAUUGGUUGUGUCGGGGAACCAGGACUUUUUACUGUGAAAAAUUAGAGUGUUCAAAGCAGGCAAAUAUGCUCGAAUACAUUAGCAUGGAAUAAUGGAAUAGGACGAUGGUUCUAUUUUGUUGGUUCUAGGACCGUUGUAAUGAUUAAUAGGGAUAGUUGGGGGCAUUAGUAUUCAAUUGUCAGAGGUGAAAUUCUUGGAUUUAUCGAAGACUAACUACUGCGAAAGCAUUUGCCAAGGAUGUUUUCAUUAAUCAAGAACGAAAGUUAGGGGAUCGAAGACGAUCAGAUACCGUCG